rnacentral:rRNA from 1 species
UCCUACCGGAGGCAGCAGUGGGGAAUAUUGCACAAUGGGCGCUAGCCUGAUGCAGCGACGCCGCGUGAGGGAUGACGGCCAUCGGGUUGUAAACCUCUUACUGUAGGCAAGAUGCGAAAGUGACGGUACCUGCAGAAGAAGCACCGGCUAUCUACGUGCCAGCAGCCGCGCUAAUACGUAGGGUGCGAGCGUUAUCCGGAAUUAUUGGGCGUAAAGAGCUCGUAGGCGGUUUGUCACGUCUCUCGUGAAUGUCCGGGGCUUAACCCCGGAUCUGCGGUGGGUACGGCCAGACUAGAGUGCAGUAGGGGAGACUGGAAUUCCUGGUGUAGCGGUGGAAUGCGCAGAUAUCAGGAGGAACACCGAUGGCGAAGGCAGGUCUCUGGGCAGUAACUGACGCUGAGCAGCGAAAGCAUGGGGAGCGAACAGGAUUAGAUACCCUGGUAGUCCAUGCCGUAAACGUUCGGCACUAKGUGUGGGGACCAUUCCACGGUUUCCGCGCCGCAGCUAACGCGUUAAGUGCCCCGCCUGGGGAGUACGGCCGCAAGGCUAAAACUCAAUGGAAUUGACGGGGGCCCGCACAAGCGGCGGUGCAUGCGGAUUAAUUCGAUGCAACGCGAAGAACCUUACCAAGGCUUGACAUGUUCUCGAUCGCCGUAGAGAUACGGUUUCCCCUUUGGGGCGGGUUCACAGGUGGUGCAUGGUUGUCGUCAGCUCGUGUC